UCAUCACUGAACGCUUAUGUUUCAAAUGGAUGGAGGGACAAUAUGCUUCUAUCUCCACAUCAUCAUCACUGUGAUUACCGUUUUCGCUUUUGUCCGAGUCUAUGUUUCCUAAAAGAUUCACUCCCACGUUAUUGUAUUUGGGUUAUCGAAAGGUUAGAGAUUUCGGAGUUCUUAGUCUCAGAAAUAUUAUGGCAAGUUUAGAGUGCUCUGUUACGCACGUCACCUGCUCGAUGAAAGUCCUGAACCAGACUUGGUUACUUGGUCAACGCUUAUUUUCGGUGUAAUGCAAGAACGAUUACGACCAAGAAGAAUCUUCUGGCUUUUAAAUAGAUGCACUUGCUUAGUCUCUUGGCCUGUAACGAGUUCACUUGAUUUUAACGUUUUCAAGAAGAAAUUGAGCUUUUUUAAGUUAUCGCCAAACUAAUGGGGUACAUAGGUAAAUCUCAUUUUAUCAUUUUGACCCUUGCUCGUUCAAUAUGCUUGUCAGUAUGUGUGUUAAAGUCUUGUAGAUUCACUUGCUGUUUUCAAAGAGAGAAAGACUUGUUGGAAUGCUAUAAUAGUUGGUUCAGUUAUUAAUGAACGUUAUGGCUUUGCUCUAGAUUUGUUUGUGAAGAUGGAAAGGUCAAACUUUGUCUCAUAUAUUUUUACUUUGUGAAGCUAAACGAGAGCUAUAUGUGGAAUCUAUUCUCUCAAAGGAGUUGGGAUCAUAGGUGAUGCAGUUGAGUUAAGAAUGAACCAGGAGUUAGUUGGAUUGAGGUUAAAGACAAAGUACAUACGUUUCUUGUCGGAGAUAGAAGUCGUUUCAGAGUUGUUUGAUUAGGAUUUUAUGGUCAAGUGUUAAGUACAGGUGUGAAAAAACGAAGAAACCAAGAAAUGGAGAAGAUAAAGAUAAGUUCAGAAGGAGCCAAAAAACCACUCUAUUUGGUGAAUGCGAGCUCUCAUAAGCAGAUUAUCUAAGAGGUAAUUGCUGGAGUUAAUAUUUGUAACAAUCGACAUGUUCACACAUUGAGUAGUGCUUGUUGAGUGGUGUCAACUGUUUCAGGCUUUCAGCUGUAGUGAGAAUCGAAUAAAGAGAUUGAAAGGAGGUACCUAGGCGGCAAGAACAGAAGAAGAUGAAAAGAAGAGUAGCCAGUGAAAAAAACAAAAAAAAAACUACGUUUUAGGUGUCGUAGGUGGCUCUGAUACCGUGUAGGAGUAGACUGUAAUGUUAUUGCAUCUAUAGACAGAGUAUAUAUACUAGCUUGUACAAAGGAGGAGACACUAGGUAAAGAUUACAAAAACGUUCAAGGAAAUACAGAUAAAA